CAUCUCUCCUGUGAAAUUUGCUGAUGAUUUGCUGCAGCUCACCUUUGUAGGCAGUGCUGUGCCUCAUCACAGGGAGGAGUCCUGACCCUAAAGUCCUUGAUCAGAUGUGACGUAUGAGACACGGAGCAAGUGAAGGAAGAAGCCGAAGUCUUGACUUUUACAGCCCGAAGUGUUCAUUAGUGGAUACCUGCUGCUUUCUGACAGGUUUCUCUGGAACAUAGGUCUCUCCUCUGGGAAUGGAAGCACAGGACACACUGAACAGGGAUUAAAUCUACCGAAUCUGCUGCGAAAAACAAAAAGAAACAACAAAACACUGCAGGCCAGACUGACUGUUGCUUUUAUGGUUGUUAUUGAGGGUGAAACGGCAGAUUCAGAACCAUCCAGACAUGAAUGACAAGAUUGAUGCCUAUUGGCGAAUGUAAUUAAGAUGUUUCACCUGCUCUCUGGCCUUUAAAGCCCACAUCUGCCUGCAGAAGGCGACGUGCUGGACCAGGUAGAAUGGAGCCCAAGCUUGAGAUGGAGCACAGAUUUGAAAAUGAAGACAUGAGAGGAUAUACAAGUACAAAUAAAAGGAUUUCAUGUGACAGCAGUCUAGGGAAAUAAAAUCCAAACCUUUCAGGAUGAUUACAGUAGUGUCACUUGCUUCAUACUUUGGGCCGAUGUAAAGAUGGAGGGAGUGGAGAGUAGUGUGCUACUGUCAGUGGUGGACAAUUCUUUUUAGGAUGUUCCUGGAACGUGUGAAACAAGAGAAAUGACCAGAUUUUGAAAUGGAGGACAGCGAAUCAGUGUGGUUGUCAUUCAUUGGUGAACUGCCUGAGAGGGUACAUCUGGAUUAUGUGUGUUAUCGACUAAGGCAAUUUGAGAAAGCCCCUUUUAGGUGCUAUUGUUGUCAAGAGUAUGGACAUGCUGCUGCUGUGUGCAGGAGUGAGAAGAUGUGGAAAGAACGGAUGUCAGAAAGGAUACAAAUGGUACUGGACGCUGCCAGAAAGUUCUUGGACAUUAUGGACAUCACUAUGGAGGAGUUGGACGUUACACUAAGGGAAGGCUUG